rnacentral:rRNA from 1 species
CGAGUUUGAUCCUGGCUCAGGAUGAACGCUAGCGGCAGGCUUAACACAUGCAAGUCGAGGGGUUAUUGGUUUUCGGACCAAGAGACCGGCGCACGGGUGCGUAACGCGUAUGCAAUCUACCUUUGCAGAGGGAUAGCCCAGAGAAAUUUGGAUUAAUACCUCAUAGUAUAGUACUUUGGCAUCAAGGAACUAUUAAAGUCACAACGGCAAAAGAUGAGCAUGCGUCCCAUUAGCUAGUUGGUAAGGUAACGGCUUACCAAGGCUACGAUGGGUAGGGGUCCUGAGAGGGAGAUCCCCCACACUGGUACUGAGACACGGACCAGACUCCUACGGGAGGCAGCAGUGAGGAAUAUUGGACAAUGGGCGCAAGCCUGAUCCAGCCAUGCCGCGUGCAGGAUGACGGUCCUAUGGAUUGUAAACUGCUUUUAUACAGGAAGAAACACUCCGACGUGUCGGAGCUUGACGGUACUGUAAGAAUAAGGAUCGGCUAACUCCGUG